UACGGAGGAUGCAAGCGUUAUCCGGAAUGAUUGGGCGUAAAGCGUCCGCAGGUGGCUGUGUAAGUCUGCUGUCAAAGAGCAAAGCUCAACUUUGUAAAGGCAGUGGAAACUACACGGCUAGAGUGCGUUCGGGGCAGAGGGAAUUCCUGGUGUAGCGGUGAAAUGCGUAGAGAUCAGGAAGAACACCGAUGGCGAAGGCGCUCUGCUAGGCCGCAACUGACACUGAGGGACGAAAGCUAGGGGAGCGAAUGGG
rnacentral:rRNA from 1 species